rnacentral:rRNA from 1 species
GACGAACGCUGGCGGCAUGCCUAACACAUGCAAGUCGAACGGAGAUUAUUUCGGUAAUCUUAGUGGCGAACGGGUGAGUAACGCGUGGGCAACCUGCCCUCUAGAUGGGGACAACAUCCCGAAAGGGGUGCUAAUACCGAAUGUGACAGCAAUCUCGCAUGAGGAUGCUGUGAAAGAUGGCCUCUAUUUAUAAGCUAUCGCUAGAGGAUGGGCCUGCGUCUGAUUAGCUAGUUGGUGGGGUAACGGCCUACCAAGGCGAUGAUCAGUAGCCGGUCUGAGAGGAUGAACGGCCACAUUGGGGCUGAGACACGGCCCAGACUCCUACGGGAGGCAGCAGUGGGGAAUCUUCCGCAAUGGGCGAAAGCCUGACGGAGCAAUGCCGCGUGAGUGAUGAAGGAAUUCGUUCCGUAAAGCUCUUUUGUUUAUGACGAAUGUGCAGAUUGUGAACAAUGAUCUGUAAUGACGGUAGUAAACGAAUAAGCCACGGCUAACUACGUG